rfam:Legionella massiliensis genome assembly, contig: CONTIG000001
GGGGGCGACCUGGCUUCGACGUGGGUUGCGAAACCUGAUGUGCAUGCCGAGAUUGAGACUUCUCGUUAAUCAGACUCACUAAACAUAAAUGCAAACGAUGAAAACUUUGCAGAUGGAGAAGCUAUCGCUGCGUAAGCUUUGAUAGGUUUUUCGUCGCACCGUGUGCUGCUAUAAAACCAGCACCCCGUUGACCGAGCUUGCUUAUCGGUAUCGAAUCAACGGUCAUAGAAGAUAAGCUCGCAGCUUGAUAUUUCCCGUAUCAAGAUGUUAAAUCCAGGGAAUCGCCGCGAACCAUCCUGCCUGUCGGAGGGGACUCGGUUAAUUGAAUAGACAAGGCUACGCAUGUAGAGCUGACGGCAGAGGAUUUGCGGACGCGGGUUCAAUUCCCGCCGCCUCCACCA